rnacentral:rRNA from 1 species
GGGUCAGUAGGUCGGUCAUGCCACUGGUAUGCACUGGUCUCACUGAUUCCUCCUUCCUGAUGAACCGUAAUGCCAUUAAUUUGGUGUUGCGGGGAGACUAGACUGUUACUUUGAAAAAAUUAGGGUGUUUAAAGCAGGCUCGCGCUUGAAUACAUUAGCAUGGAAUAAUGAAAUAGGACGUUCGAUCUUAUUUUGUUGGUUUCUAGGAUUGACGUA